rnacentral:rRNA from 1 species
CUAUGAUCCUUAAAUUCAAAGAAUUUGGCGGUAAUUAAGUCUUUUUAGAGGAACCUGUUCUUUAAUUGAUAAUCCACGAUUGAUUUUACUUUAAUAUUGUUUGUAUACCUCUGUCAAUGAAUGUAUUUUGAGAUUAUUUUCUUUAUGUUUUUGUGAAUUGAUGUUAGGUCAAGGUGCAGUUUUUUAAAGUAGAAAUGGGUUACAAUAAUUUUUUUUGAAUUUUUAUUUGUAAUUAUAAAAUGAAAUUGGAUUUAAUAGUAAUUAUUUUUAGAUAAAAGUAUUGAUUUUGGCUCUUAAUUAU